ACAGAGGGGGCGAGCGUUAUUCGGAAUUAUUGGGCGUAAAGGGCUCGUAGGCGGUCUGAUAAGUCCUGUGUGAAAUCCCUUGGCUUAACCAAGGAACUGCGCCGGAUACUGUCGGACUAGAGGCCGGGAGAGGGAAGCGGAAUUCCGAGUGUAGCGGUGAAAUGCGUAGAUAUUCGGAGGAACACCGGUGGCGAAGGCGGCUUCCUGGACCGGUUCUGACGCUGAGGGGCGAAAGCUAGGGUAGCAAACAGGA
rnacentral:rRNA from 1 species